CAUCGUGACCGGUAUGCAAUUUAAGAGCACAGAUUUGUGCGAACCAUGUAUUCCCUGCAUUGAAGGAAAGACGUGCAAGAGUCCCUUUAAAAACAAAGGUACGAGAGCCACGGAUGUUCUGCAAAUCGUUCAUACUGAUUUAUGCGGACCCAUGGAAGAGCCGUCGUUCGGAGGUUCGAGUCUGCAGGAAUAAAACACCAGACGACUGUACCCUACACGCCUGA